rnacentral:lncRNA from 1 species
CACGCGGGGAACCCUGGUGGGGAGGACCAUGCGGCGGAGCGAACGGUGGAGGAUGCUUUCCGUCGCAAGUUCAUGUGGGGUGCCUUCCCGGGCUGCCUGGCUGACCCGCUGGUUUUACAGUGCUGGGCCAACCGGUUGGAGAUCUGUGCCCUGGUCCCGAGGCACUUGCCUGCCCGCAAGUUCUACUUCCUCGUGGGCUACAGUGAAACUUUGCUGUCCCACUUUUACAAAUGUCCUCUGCCACUCCACCUCCAAACUGUGCCCUCAAAGGUUGUGUAUAAGGACCUGU